AUUGAACGCUGGCGUCAGGCCUAACACAUGCAAGUCGGGCGCGCGGCGGACGGGUGAGUAAUGUAUGGGGAUCUGCCUGAUGGAGGGGGAUAACUACUGGAAACGGUAGCUAAUACCGCAUACCAUCAGAUGAACCCAUAUGGGAUUAGCUUGUAGGUAAGGUAACGGCUGACCUAGGCGACGAUCCCUAGCUGGUCUGAGAGGAUGAUCAGCCCCACUGGUACUGAGACGCGGCCCAUACUCCAACGGGAGGCAGCAGUGGGGAAGAUUACACAAUGGGGGCAAGCCUGGUGCAGCCAUGCCGCGUGUAUGAAGAAGGCCUGCGGGUUGUAAAGUACUUUCAGUCGUGAGGCGGUACCGACAGAAGAAGCACCGGCUAACUCCGUGCCAGCAGCCGCGGUAAUUC
rnacentral:rRNA from 1 species